rnacentral:rRNA from 1 species
AUUGAACGCUGGCGGCAGGCCUAACACAUGCAAGUCGAGCGAGCGGCGGACGGGUGAGUAAUGUCUGGGAAACUGCCUGAUGGAGGGGGCUAACUACUGGAAACGGUAGCUAAUACCGCAUACCAUCAGAUGUGCCCAGAUGGGAUUAGCUAGUAGGUGGGGUAACGGCCCACCUAGGCGACGAUCCCUAGCUGGUCUGAGGGGAUGACCAGCCACACUGGAACUGAGACAGGGUCCAGCCUCCGAGGGGAGGCAGCAGGGGGAAAUAUUGCACAAUGGGCGAAAGCCUGAUGCAGCCAUGCCGCGUGGGUGAAGAGGGCCUUCGGGUUGUAAAGCACUUUCAGCGGGGAGGCGUUACCCGCAGAAGAGGCACCGGCUAACUCCGGGCCAGCAGCCGCGGUAAUU